CAGCCGCCGCGGUAAUACGAGGGGUGCAAGCGUUAUUCGGAUUGAUUGGGUGUAAAGGGUGUGCAGACGGCUUAUUAAGUCACUUGUUAAAUUCUUCGGCCUAACUGAAGGUCUGCAAGUGAUACUGAUGAGCUAGAGGGUGGAAGAGAGAAGUGGAAUUCUCGGAGUAGCGGUAAAAUGCGUAGAUCUCGAGAGGAACACCAAUGGCGAAGGCAGCUUCUUGGUCCAUUCCUGACGUUCAUACACGAAAGCGUGGGGAGCAAACAGGAUUAGAUACCCGCGUAGUCCCUGUCUCUUAUAC
rnacentral:rRNA from 1 species